rnacentral:lncRNA from 1 species
CAGUGGUGACGUUUUCAGCUUGAUGUGGUUGGUAGUUUCUCGUGGACACUGUGGUGCAGGGACCAAGAUAUUUAUUCUCACCAGCUUCAGACCUAAGAAAAAGAAAAUGGUGAGUGGUGAUCAGUAGCAAAAUUCAGCCUUUCCAAUCCAGACACUGGAAAAAUAACAACUUGGCAAAGAAAAACAGAAGCAGAUCACCAGGAAUCAGGAAGGAACUGACAGGAAAAAUGAAAAGCUACAAAGAUGUUGAAAAGAUGGGCCACAAUGCAGAAAAAAGAAGGAAAUAAUUGGAACUCCCUCCUCAGCUCUCACAGGGAGGGGAAUCUGAUUCCCAGAAGCCGUAAGCAGCCAGGGCUGGGAGAUCCAGAGAGAAACAGUAGUGGAGCCCACAGCCUUUGUGAGGUGCGAAAACAAUGCAGAGUUUUGCUUUGAGGGGACUCCUUACACAGCAGGCAGCAGCUGGAGCAGGAGUCAAGUGUGGGUGCUCCAGUGAGCUUGAUCAGGUGCCAUUUGGGGCAGGGGUUGAUUAAAGUAUUUAGGUCUAGGACUCAGAACAGUUUCACUUGAGGGCUCCCAGUGUUACCCUCCCAUAGUAAUUGGGUGAGUGGGAGACAGGCGUGGACAGGGAGCAGGCUACAGAGUCCCUGAGAAGUUUAAACUCAGGCCACCAAGGACCUGGCCCUACCCCACUGUGGUGAGAAGCCCU